rnacentral:siRNA from 1 species
AUCGCAUCAUCCAUGGUGGUGUAU